rnacentral:rRNA from 1 species
UACGAAGGGGGCUAGCGUUGCUCGGAAUUACUGGGCGUAAAGGGCGCGUAGGCGGCUAUCUAAGUUGGGGGUGAAAUCCCGGGGCUCAACCUCGGAAUUGCCUUCAAAACUGGAUAUCUUGAGUUCGGGAGAGGUGAGUGGAACUCCGAGUGUAGAGGUGAAAUUCGUAGAUAUUCGGAAGAACACCAGUGGCGAAGGCGACUCACUGGACACAUAUUGACGCUGAGGUGCGAAAGCGUGGGGAGCAAACAGG